GGAUACUAGGCGUGGCUUGUAUCGACCCAAGCCGUGCCGGAGCCAACGCGUUAAGUAUCCCGCCUGGGGAGUACGCACGCAAGUGUGAAACUCAAAGGAAUUGACGGGGGCCCGCACAAGCGGUGGAGUAUGUGGUUUAAUUCGAUGCAACGCGAAGAACCUUACCAAGGCUUGACAUCCUGCGAAUCUUGAUGAAAGUUGAGAGUGCCUUCGGGAGCGCAGAGACAGGUGGUGCAUGGCUGUCGUCAGCUCGUGUCGUGAGAUGUUGGGUUAAGUCCCGCAACGAGCGCAACCCUCGUUUCUAGUUGCCAGCAUUAAGUCGGGCACUCUAGAGAGACCGCCGGUGACAAACCGGAGGAAGGUGAGGAUGACGUCAAGUCAGCAUGCCCCUUACGCCUUGGGCUACACACGUACUACAAUGCUACGGACAAAGGGCAGCUACACAGCGAUGUGAUGCAAAUCUCGGAAACCGUAGCUCAGUUCAGAUCGAAGGCUGCAACUCGCCUUCGUGAAGGAGGAAUCGCUAGUAAUUGCAGGUCAGCAUACUGCAGUGAAUUCGUUCCCGGGCCUUGUACACACCGCCCGUCACACCAUGGAAGUUGGUCACGCCCGAAGUCAUUACCCCAACCGCAAGGAGGGGGAUGCCGAAGGU
rnacentral:rRNA from 1 species